ensembl:lncRNA
UUACAUAAUACAAAGACCACGCUUUAAGUUUCAUCCCAUAAUUUAUUGAUUAAUAUAGACAUGUACAUGAUCCUGUGAUCAAUAAUAUAAAGUAGAGAAUGUGAGGAAUAUGAGCUGAACACUCUGCUGCGAAGCAUCGUUAGUGUGUGUGUGUGUGUGUGUGUGUGUAUAAACUCAACACAGCGUGACGUGCAGCGGCUGCAUUCAGAUCAGAACAGUGCAUAACUCUCCAGACAUGAUUCACAGCAUCCACAGCCGCAGAGCUAGUCAUCACGAGCUGCGCUGCUUUGUUAUUAGCAAAGACAUGCAUCACAGUGUUACAUUUACAUGACAUCUCGGUAAAAAUGAAUAAAUAAAGACAUUAAUAUAUUAAUAUUUCAGAUUUUUGGUUGUAAGGCUAUAGAAUACAGUCUAAAAAUAGCACUGUUAUCUUCACUAUUCAGUAAUGCCUUUAGUUCACAUGAAAUCAUACAGUAGUUCACAGUCACAGGCGGUUUGCUACAUCAUCUGUUAGUACAGCAAGGAGGUUAGUCGGCUUGAUCACUAGCGGCUCACUAACUUACCUGUCUGUUCUGGGGCUUGCACUCUUGUAUGUGUCUCAGUACGUGGGUCGUGUCGUUUUAUCAUCACUUUCAUGUAUGUGCAACUAUUAACUGCUAUCACCUUUAGAUCUAACCUGAAAAACUGUAAACGGCAAACUUUGUUAGUUUGUGGGUGAAAUGACACUAGAAAUCUGCAUUCAGUCAGAAUAAUACUAACUCCAUCUAUUCUGGCAUCAUUUACUCGCAUUCAUAUGGAAGCCUGCUUGUGUUACGGAAAUUAAAAUUAAAUAAUGGUAACUGUGACAUCUAGUGUCACAAUUUGGACUUCAGACGUUUCUGACAAUAAAUGUAGAAUUGUGAGAUAUAAAUUCAGAAAUCUGGCUCUUUGUCUGAGUUUACAUCUUGCAAUUCUGACCUUUUUAAUACUUUUUAUAUAUAUGCCUUGAAAAAAAAAGUAUUAAAAGUAAUUGCAAAAUUUUAUAUCACAAGUCUGUUUUUUUUUUUUUUAAUCGCAAUUGACUUUCACAAUUCAGCCUUUUUUCACAGAAUUCUGGAUUUACAUCUGGCGACUGACUUUAUUCUUACAAUUCAGCCUUUUUUCAUAACUCUUAGUUUAUAUCUUACAAUUAAAAUGUUUGUUUUUGCCUUGGAAUUUUUAUUUUUAUUUUUUUAGUUAAUUGCGACUUUCUAUAUCACAAUUCUUACUUUUUCCUUGCAAUUCUGAGUUUAUAUCUCACAGUUCUCAGAAUUGCAAGACAAAAAGUCAAAUAUAAACUCAGAAUUGUGAGAUAAAAAGUUACAACUGCUCAUUUUAUUUCAUAUUCCAUAGUGGAAAUGUUCACACUGCUCUUUAUCAUACAGUAAAAACAUACUGUACAGUGACCAUAAACUUUUUUCUGCCGUAUAUCUGUGAAAUCUCAUAGAUGUGAUCUCAUGUACUUGUUCGUGCAUUAAGAUUCACUGAGUUCAGAUGCAGCUAUUUUGGAUGCUUGACAGCUUCGGUUCUCUGUCUGCUUUCACGGUUUGGCCCCAGAUCCUCCAAACGUGAUGUUUGCCGUGCCCCAUGGGUUUGGACAGAGUACAUGAUGACAGAGUGAAGGACUCGGUGCUGAUUUCUGUGUGACAGUCUGCGCUUCUCUUGACACCAAUGGUAAAAUCAACUAACACGAGGCUGAAGCGUGUGAUGUAUUUCACAGAAGAGCCCUAAUGGUUCAGUCCAGUAAUAAUAUUAGCAUAUUAUUAUAGAUCUGUUUGUCACACCAUAUCAAGACCGCAGAGGCACAGAAUCUCAUCUGAGCAGAUCAAUGCACUCAGCUUGUAUUUGGUCUCGUUUUCCAGUGAAAUCAGCUUAAAGAAGAUGAAUUUACUCGAGAAGCAAAAUUAUACAAGAUUGCGAGCCUUGCUUUCAGAGAACAUCUUAAAAGUAUUUCACCCCAAACAAUCUAAUCGAAUCAAAACUGAAGUAAAAUACUGAGAGGUUUAUAAAACAAGACAAUUUGUCAGUGGACGAAAAAAUAAACUUCUCUGAAAACUAGCCUCUAAUCAAUUGUAUUUUCAAUCUCAUUUUUUUGGAAAACACAGUAUUUAUGCUCAGAUGCUUGAAAGAUACUUAAAGAGUUUUUUGUAACCAAACUUUGCACCAAAUAACAACAAAUUCUGAUUGUUAAUAUUGGAUCUUUUUCAGUCCUGAACUCGUCUUUGUCUAAACUAAAGAUCACGUUAUUCAGAUGGAGUUCUAGACGUCUGCGGUCUUGAUCUGCGCUAGUUUCCUGCACUAAACCUGGUCCUCAACUAAAAAUACUGAUUCCCACUGAAUACGGUGUUUAGUUGAGGAAACCAGCGGGGAUCCGCGCGUUGGACGUCUAGAGGAGCUGCUGCUGGCCGUGUUUCUCGGUGUGGAAUACGUGAAGGGUUUGAGAGGCAGAAUCGGUCCAGUGGAUGAGCUCCAGCAGAACUCUGUAGGUCCAGAGUUUAGCAGCAAAACUAUCAGAACCUUCAACUUCAUCCUGACCCUGAAAAUCAACACCAGAGAAUGCUCAGCCUCUUUCUUAAAUACAUGCUCUUGGCCUUGUUGUGAAUGAUUAGUGAACCGUCUUACACAGAAAACACACUCAACAUGACCAGAGUUUGUAUUGUUUCUGAAAGAAGCCACUGUUGCUCACCAAGGCUGCACUGAACUGAUAAAAAUACAGUAACAUUGUGAUUUUUUUUUUUUGUGUGUGUGGAAAAUUUAGCAGUGUG